rnacentral:rRNA from 1 species
CAUAGUACGUGAACCGCACAGAGAUAAAGCGGAGGACCAUUGUGGCUUGCUAAGAUGGGUAAUGAUUCACUNCACGCCGGGCACCUGCAGGCUGCUUUUUGGGAUGCACCUGGCGCGCGCGGUCGCGCCGCAAGGCGCGUUCCGUGUCGGUCCGGACGCCCCCGCGGUCCAGGUAUAAGUCCUUGGUGUGGCGAGGUGCACUUCUCCUCCGAACGGGAAACUUUAGGGAGUAGGGUUGAAGGUCGGCGGGAACCCGUUCCGUGCCUGGCCGGAGCCCGACGGUAGAUUUUGGCGGAGAUGGCCCGCUCCUCUGCGAGUGAGCGUCCGGGCCGAGGGCAAGCUCUUCGGGUUAGCUAUCGGUGUGGCCGUGGCGAACGCCACGCCCCCGACCCUCGUCGGCUGUUGGUCCUCGGAUUUCCUCGGACGGUAGCCGUCUCCCGUCAGCGGCGCUUAAAGCUUCGGUCUCUUUCCCGACCCGUCUUGAAACACGGCAA